AAGAUGUUUUGUUUUCCCUUUAUUUCUACCACUGAAUUCUCUAUGUGAAACGGUAAACCACAAUAUCACUUCGCUUCAUCCUUUCUGAGGAUACAAGGGGCAAUUCCUGCACACGCUCCCCCGGGACGCUAAACCCCCGUUUGGACAGACGCCAGCGAGUCAACGGGCAGACCGCGCCUCCCGCGAAAAAAAGCCCACGCGAGCGCAGGACGUGUGAGAGAAACUUGAAAUCCUGCCACGUUGUUGGUCAUCUCUAACAUGGAUCAAGAAAUGCCAUACAGCUGCUGAUUUCUGUGCAAAGAAGAAAGGAAAAGCCCUGCAGAUGGCACUGUCUGGUCCUUUUUUCCCUGCCUGAUCUGUCCUCAAACCAUGUUGUUCCAAGCAGUGGAGAAUGCAGAAAGAGACUAGAUAAUCAUGUCUUUCACAUGUCUGCAUUAAUCCUGACAAAAUAGUUAUUUUUAAAUUGAGGGCAGUUUACUGAUCCCAAAGUAAACAGAGCUAAUUUUGCCUAUUAAAAGAGUAGGUGAAUUACAAUAUAUAUGAAGGCAAUGUCACACACAUACACAAAAGACAAUGAUUAAAUAUUCAAGUCAUGAGGUUUGCAUAGCCAGAGUUUUAAGAUGGAAAGUGGGAGUGAACUUCACAUAUUCAGAUUAGGCUCUACCUGGUGCUGUGCUUCUAUUAGAUUGUAUCCAGGAUUGCUCCUGACAUUGCUGAGAAAAAAAUAUAUAUAAAUGGUUAAUCCUCUUUUUUUUUUCAAAUUAAAAAAAUGUUUUGAGAUUUUGGAAGGGAAAGGUGUAUGAAAAUUCAUGAUGUUUUUAACUUUAGAAGUUAAACCUUUAGAAGUUUGCCAAAGAGGGCUUGCUCCUUCACAAACUGACUUCUUGGUUGUGGCCAUGAAUAAAAUAUACACUAAAAGACAAUUUGGUAAGAAUAUUUCCUGCCAUUCUCAGUACUUUUCCAAGGUAAGUUUUCUAUCACUCUAGUCUACCUUUGCCUUUGUGGGGAUGGGGGUGGGGACCCCUCCAAA